GAACGAGACCUUCGGGUCUAGUGGCGCACGGGUGCGUAACGCGUGGGAAUCUGCCCUUGGGUUCGGAAUAACAGUUAGAAAUGACUGCUAAUACCGAAUGAUGUCGUAAGACCAAAGAUUUAUCGCCCAGGGAUGAGCCCGCGUAGGAUUAGCUAGUUGGUGUGGUAAAGGCGCACCAAGGCGACGAUCCUUAGCUGGUCUGAGAGGAUGAUCAGCCACACUGGGACUGAGACACGGCCCAGACUCCUACGGGAGGCAGCAGUGGGGAAUAUUGGACAAUGGGCGAAAGCCUGAUCCAGCAAUGCCGCGUGAGUGAUGAAGGCCUUAGGGUUGUAAAGCUCUUUUACCCGGGAUGAUAAUGACAGUACCGGGAGAAUAAGCUCCGGCUAACUCCGUG
rnacentral:rRNA from 1 species